rnacentral:rRNA from 1 species
AUCUUCCACAAUGGACGGAAGUCUGAUGGCGCAACGCCGCGUGAGCGUAGAAGGAUUUCGGAUCGUAAAGCUCUGUUGUAAGGGAAGAACACGUACGAGAGUCACCGCCCUUACUUUGCCGUUACCUUAUCGAAUAGCCACGUGUAACUACGUGCAGGUAGCCGCGGUAAUACGUAGGUGGCAAGCGUUGUCCGGAAUUAUUGGGCGUAAAGCGCGCGCAGGCGGUCCUUUAAGUCUGAUGUGAAAGCCCACGGCUCAACCGUGGAGGGUCAUUGGAAACUGGAGGACUUGAGUACAGAAGAGGAAAGCGGAAUUCCACGUGUAGCGGUGAAAUGCGUAGAGAUGUGGAGGAACACCAGUGGCGAAGGCGGCUUUCUGGUCUGUAACUGACGCUGAGGCGCGAAAGCGUGGGGAGCAAACAG